AGAACCGGUCAAAAAGUGUGCGUUCCCUUCCUUUGCCUCUUGAUCACAUGAGUGCAACAAGCUAUUGCACUGCAAGUUUCUCAAAUUACACACGGAGAAAAUCAUGCAAUUGAUACUCAAGUAACUAGAAGGAACAUGCCAAAGUAUUGAAACAAACUCUAAAAGUAAAAACCAUUCCACAAUCAAACAAGACAAAGUUCAAAUUCAAAGUGAAAAUAGUAC
rnacentral:lncRNA from 1 species